rnacentral:rRNA from 1 species
UACAGAGGGUGCGAGCGUUGUUCGGAAUUAUUGGGCGUAAAGAGCUCGUAGGCGGUCUGUUGCGUCGGCUGUGAAAACCCGGGGCUCAACCCCGGGCCUGCAGCCGAUACGGGCAGACUAGAGUUCGGCAGGGGAGACUGGAAUUCCUGGUGUAGCGGUGAAAUGCGCAGAUAUCAGGAGGAACACCGGUGGCGAAGGCGGGUCUCUGGGCCGAUACUGACGCUGAGGAGCGAAAGCGUGGGUAGCGAACAGG